CAAACCAGAAUGAAGCAACGCGGCGUGAGGGAGAACGGCCUUCGGGUUGUAAACCUCUUUUAGUAGGGAAGAAGCGAAAGUGACGGUACUGCAGAAAAAGCACCGGCUAACUACGUGCCAGCAGCCGGGGUAAUACGUAGGGUGCAAGCGUUAUCCGGAAUUAUUGGGCGUAAAGAGCUCGUAGGCGGUUUGUCGCGUCUGCUGUGAAAACUGGAGGCUCAACCUCCAGCAUGCAGUGGGUACGGGCAGACUAGAGUGCGGUAGGGGAGAUUGGAAUUCCUGGUGUAGCGGUGGAAUGCGCAGAUAUCAGGAGGAACACCGAUGGCGAAGGCAGAUCUCUGGGCCGUAACUGACGCUGAGGAGCGAAAGCAUGGGGAGCGAACAGGAUUAGAUACCCUGGUAGUCCAUGCCGUAAACGUUGGGAACUAGAUGUAGGGACCAUUCCACGGUUUCUGUGUCGCAGCUAACGCAUUAAGUUCCCCGCCUGGGGAGUACGGCCGCAAGGCUAAAACUCAAAGGAAUUGACGGGGGCCCGCACAAGCGGCGGAGCAUGCGGAUUAAUUCGAUGCAACGCGAAGAACCUUACCAAGGCUUGACAUAUACCGGAAAAGUUCAGAAAUGUUCUCCCCGCAAGGUCGGUAUACAGGUGGUGCAUGGUUGUCGUCAGCUCGUGUCGUGAGAUGUUGGGUUAAGUCCCGCAACGAGCGCAACCCUCGUUCUAUGUUGCCAGCACGUAAUGGUGGGAACUCAUAGGAGACUGCCGGGGUCAACUCGGAGGAAGGUGGGGAUGACGUCAAAUCAUCAUGCCCCUUAUGUCUUGGGCUUCACGCAUGCUACAAUGGCCGAUACAAAGGGCUGCAAUACCGCAAGGUGGAGCGAAUCCCAAAAAGUCGGUCUCAGUUCGGAUUGAGGUCUGCAACUCGACCUCAUGAAGUCGGAGUCGCUAGUAAUCGCAGAUCCGCAACGCCGCGGUGAAUACGUUCCCGGG
rnacentral:rRNA from 1 species